rnacentral:rRNA from 1 species
CCUACGGGCGGCAGCAGUGGGGAAUAUUGGGCAAUGGGCGCAAGCCUGACCCAGCAACGCCGCGUGAAGGAAGAAGGCUUUCGGGUUGUAAACUUCUUUUCUCAGGGACGAAGCAAGUGACGGUACCUGAGGAAUAAGCCACGGCUAACUACGUGCCAGCAGCCGCGGUAAUACGUAGGUGGCAAGCGUUAUCCGGAUUUACUGGGUGUAAAGGGCGUGUAGGCGGGAAAGCAAGUCAGAUGUGAAAACCAUGGGGGCAACCUGUGGCCUGCCUUUGAAACUGGUUUUCUUGAGUACUGGAGAGGCAGACGGAAUUCGUAGUGUAGCGGGGAAAUGCGUAGAUAUUAGGAGGAACACCAGUGGCGAAGGCGGUCUGCUGGACAGCAACUGACGCUGAGGCGCGAAAGCGUGGGGAGCAAACAGGAUUAGAUACCCCAGUAGUC